AUUGAACGCUGGCGGCAGGCCUAACACAGGCAAGGCGAACGGUAACAGGAAACAGCGGGCGGGGGCGCGGACGAGGGGCGGACGGGGGAGAAAGGUCGGGGAAACGGCCGGAUGGAGGGGGAUAACGACGGGAAACGGUAGCUAAUACCGCAUAACGUCGCAAGACCAAAGAGGGGGACCCUCGGGCCUCUUGCCAUCGGAUGUGCCCAGAUGGGAUUAGCUUGUUGGUGGGGUAACGGCUCACCAAGGCGACGAUCCCUAGCUGGUCUGAGAGGAUGACCAGCCACACUGGAACUGAGACACGGUCCAGACUCCUACGGGAGGCAGCAGUGGGGAAUAUUGCACAAAGGGCGCAAGCCUGAUGCAGCCAUGCCGCGUGUAUGAAGAAGGCCUUCGGGUUGUAAAGUACUUUCAGCGGGGAGGAAGGGAGUAAAGUUAAUACCUUUGCUCAUUGACGUUACCCGCAGAAGAAGCACCGGCUAACUCCGUG
rnacentral:rRNA from 1 species